UCCCACAGGAAAUCCAAGGCUCCAAUCUCUCUGCAUCUCUCUGCAUGGCGUCUUGUCACUUAAGAGAGUCAACAGCCCCUCCCAGUUUGAGAUCAGCAGCAGCCUUGAACUGGGACAUUUAACUGCAGCAUCCCAAUCUUUGAAAAAUCCCCACCUUCUCCUCCAGCCGAGCUUCCAGCUGUCCCUCACUUGGUCAGUUCCCAUGAGGUGUCCCACAACAACACAGCGAGGCCCACAAGACCCUGCUGGCAGCCUGGCUGCCCUGAUUCAGACACAUUUUCCCUUCUUCCCACAGUUCUGCAGCUUGAACAAUGGGAAGGGGCCCUUGUUUGGUCAGCAGUGAAGUGUCAGACUGCACCUUGCUGGCUCAGUGCCCUUCCCAGGCUUCAGGAUUCAGGUGGGGAGGACAACUCAGCACAGGCAGGAGGAGAAAAGUCGAGCUGCACCCCUGGGGCACCCUUUGUGUAUUUGCAGAUUUCCUUUGUUCAGGGGCCUACAUGCUGUCCUUGUCACCUCAGGGGUGCUGCCAGCAUGGAGGCCUGGCCUUGUCAUUGUGCAGAUGAAAGAACUGCUGCCAAAACAAAAGGCAGAGAGAAUUCCUUCCUGGGUUUGGAGCCCCCUGGACAGGAUCCAUUCUACUGAGCAAGCAAGGCUGAACAGUCCCACAGCCCUAAACACAGCUGCAAAGUGUCCUUGUGCCCAUCACCCUCGAUCCAGCAGGGCUGCAGAGAGGACAAACUCUGACCUUUAAACCAAAAGGGACAAAACCUUGUACAGGGCCUGGCCUGGAAGGCCUGGAUGUGAUGGCCGCUCCCAGGGAGAGAGACCAGAGGCCCUGUGAGUAGAGACCAGGACUGUUCCCAGGAAACCAUGGCAAGGUGUCAGGAGCAGGCAUUAGAGACAGGGCCAGGGAGAUGUGAUGCAGGUGGCUGAGGGAGAGCAUCAUGGAGAUGUAGAAAUUGAAACUAGGAAACAGGAUUUCCUUUAUCUCUGACAACAUGAGCCUGCACGGAUGGAAGGCCUGCUGUGUCAUCACAGUGUUAGAAAUGAACUUUUAGAUACAAAUAAAUGGACACACAAAGUAGUGGAGGCAAAAGAAAUCUGUUUAUUAGUAACAAUUCACCUGAGCUGCAGGUAUGCCCUCUUUCCCCCAAGAGCCAAACACACACACCCUCCAAAACAAGCACUAUAUUUUAUCCCCUUUCCUGGCCAGGGGCAAUCCCUGUCCCCUUUCCCAUUGCCUGGGUACUUGAGAAUUUCUAUUCUCUCCUCACCGCCUACUUUUCUGUCCGCAUUCCUCUGAUCCUACUUCCUUUUUGGUCAGGUCUUUAACCUGGCUGCUUUCCCAGCUCACAGCAACACCCAACAAAUUAACUGGAGCAAAUCCAAACCAGAAAUAACAACACACAGAACCAACUUUCAUUGUUUUACCUAAUAACCUUUUGGGUUCAGCAAAAUAUUACCUCAUCUCUGACAACAGGGUAGAGGACUCUGAUGUCACCAACCUCUGGAUGAUGACAUCAGGCAUUGCUGGAUUGUGACCUCACCUUCUCUCCCUGCUUAUCUUGGGGUUCCAAGGAGUUUCAAUGCCUUUUGUGCUGUCACAGGGGUUGGAGGCUGGUGUCAGAGAGCAGUGGGCUGUGACAUCACAGAGGGAUGCAUUGUGACAUUGUGCCCCUCAAUUCCAAGGAAUACUUUUGAAAACUACUUCCCAAAGUGAAUCUUUCUCCAAGCAGAUGGACUGGCAAAACCCAUAAUCUGUGAGCAGAAGACAGGAAUAUUUUUGCCUGUUGGAAAAAUGCCAUAGCAAUGUGCUCUUGACUAGGCGCACUCUUGUCCUUACCAUAAAGAAAAGACACUGAACAAAAUGAAA